AUUGAACGCUGGCGGCAGGCCUAACACAUGCAAGUCGAGCGGAGCGGCGGACGGGUGAGUAAUGCCUAGGAAUCUGCCUGGUAGUGGGGGAUAACGUCCGGAAACGGGCGCUAAUACCGCAUACUAUCAGAUGAGCCUAGGUCGGAUUAGCUAGUUGGGGGGGUAAAGGCCUACCAAGGCGACGAUCCGUAGCUGGUUUGAGAGGACGACCAGCCACACUGGGACUGAGACACGGCCCAGACUCCUACGGGAGGCAGCAGUAGGGAAUCUUCGGCAAUGGACGAAAGUCUGACCGAGCCAUGCCGCGUGUGUGAAGAAGGUCUUCGGAUUGUAAAGCACUUUAAGUUGGGAGGCGUUACCAACAGAAUAAGCACCGGCUAACUUCGUGCCAGCCGCCGCGGUAAUUC
rnacentral:rRNA from 1 species